GGGCACCCGGUACCUUACUCAACCGAGUACCAAUGUAACAUAUCUUUCUUAUUACUUCAUCAUAUACAUGUGACAUACGGGCCUAAUAGGCCAACAUGAUCAUUUAUAAACUCAAAACAUAGGCCGACAAUGUCGUACAAUCUUUCACGUACACAACAUAUGUCUACAAGCCUCUAAGAGUACAUAAUUGUUAUAAAGGUCGGGACAGAGCCCCGCCAUACCAAACCAUACACAUCUAAAUCAUACUGACUAAACAAGCUAACUCCGGAGUAAAUGGAGUGCACCAAUAUCUUCUGUUGAGCUGAUCGCCUACUUGGAGGACUCUCGACCUGUCUAUCGAGACAUGCGGGCAUAAAACGCAGCGUCCCUAGACAAAAGGGGCGUCAGUACAAAUAAUGUAUCGAGUAUGUAAGGAAUGAAAAUCAGUAAAUAAUAGAUAUGAGAGAAACAUGGAGUAAAAGACUCGACAUGUACGUCUGCAUAACUCUGUGAAUUAUUUUAUUUUUUUAUAAUGUCAUGCAUAUGCAUAUAAGUGUCAUACCAUGCAUAAGUAUAUGUGUUCAUAACAUCAUCAAGCCUCUAAGGGCAUCCCAUCAUAUCAUUUCGACCACUGUGGGAAAAUCAUCAACGUAUACCAGUUGAUCAGGUGGUGGUGCCAUAACCUUUUCCCAUAUCCCAUAUACAUAUAAUAUACGUGUAUAUAACGCCAUCUGGUCAUGGGUCAAUGCACAUGUAUAGAUGCAUGAAAUGCAUAAGAAAUACGUUAAUAAGAUUUUCUCGGAAUGUCAUAAAAAUAAUAUGCCUGUCGGAUAAAUUUUAUCAAGUACGUAUUUUUCUGAGACCCAAGAACAGAAAAUAUAAUAAUAAUUUACAUGGGGAAUCAAGAAUAUAGACACCCCUAAUAUUUCUAUGAAUAGAGUCAUUUAUGGAAAUUAUGCAUUUGCUCAUUUCGUUCGUAUCUAUUGAUCAUGCCAAAAAGAAAGAAGGGAUAGCCUUAACAUACCUAGAAUAGGGAAAAAUCAGUAUGAUGUUCUUGAAAAAGGUUGUACCGUGCUCCUUUAGAACCGCAAAAUUUUACGUUGCUAAUAAUUAUUGUUGGAUUCCUUUUGAUGGCAAGAAUUCAUAUUUUUUUGUGGGAAUUUGCAGAAAAUAGGUAAGAAGUCACGUUGCUAAUGUCUCAUCUUUUGUGAGUGAGUUUGCUGAAUAUUUCUUUGAGCUUU
rnacentral:lncRNA from 1 species